CCUUUUCUUACAUAGAACACAAAACUCAAGUCUUUUUGUUCGAAUCACACCAGUGGCCUCAAACUGAUAAGAAGCACGCACGCAAGGUACGGUCUUAUGUGGGAUUCUUGGAUCCGCUCAAUGGAUAACUCCCACUUGUGUCGUUUGUGAAAAGAGAGACUUCUCAACUCGGAAACCCAUUCGAUAUCUUUUUUUCUUUUUGAUUGUUUCGAGUUUUUAACUUCACCCCUGUUGUUUGUUUUCUCCGUUUCAUUCUAUUUUCUUGCUGGUUGUUUUGCUUAUGGGAUAUUGAACGGGAUUUGCUCUCUGGGUUUUUGAUUUUCGUAUCUUUCUGGUUCUUGUUGAGAAAUGAUGUCAAUGACAUGCCACGGUCUCGAUUUUGGUGGGACUGUGUUUGAUUUGGCGGCUUGUGGGUGCUCCUCCAAUGUUUCAAUAGAUAGGCGUUCAGUGAGGAAUUAUGGAAGGUCGGUUUCUAGGACUUGUAAUAGGGACUAUGCUGCCAGAAGAUUGCUUUGCUACUGGAGAGAUAUUGCUCGGUGUCGUGUUUCUUCGACCAAGACCCCUAAGACUCUGCUUAAUGGUAACUUUUUUUCUUUGCUAAAUGCUUCUUUCUAUGGAAGUGGCUGUAUUUGCUUUAGCAAAUUUUAGUUCACAAUAUCCAACAGCAACUGGUUUUAUCCAUUUAGUUUCUGUUCUUAUUGGUGUUGGUUGUAUUUGCUGUUGCCUGACAUAACUUGAAUUUGGUUCAUUACAUGUUUGCCGUUUUUCAACGGAAUGACCAUUAUCAGUGGCUAGUUAUUGGUAGCAGUUUCCCGUUUCUCUUAGUCUAGCGGAGUUGAAGUGGAGACUUCCAAGUUCUAGCCAACAAUAGUAACUUGGUUGUGCAAUUAAGUCCUUCAUUUUUGUAAAGAUUGUUUGGUUAGCAUGCAGUGUCUGCUAAAUUUUGUGUAACUGCAAUGACUUAGCACUGAGAUGUUUGAACUCUUAGCAUUUGUUUAUUUGUGCAAUCAAUACAGGAGUUACUCAAGGUCCUUCAACACUGUUGACUUUGAAGGAGUCAAGAGGCUCAAUUAAAUUGAAAAAUGUGUUUGAAGUGGUUGCUGAUGAUCUCCAGACUCUUAACCAAAACCUCCGGUCGAUUGUUGGUGCAGAAAACCCAGUUUUAAUGUCUGCAGCUGAUCAGAUAUUUGGUGCUGGUGGGAAAAGGAUGCGACCAGCUUUGGUAUUCCUAGUGUCAAGAGCCACAGCAGAAAUAGUAGGGUUAAAAGAACUCACUACGAAACAUCGACGUUUAGCAGAGAUCAUUGAGAUGAUCCAUACUGCAAGCUUAAUCCAUGAUGAUGUACUAGAUGAAAGUAACAUGCGAAGAGGAAAACAAACGGUUCAUCAACUCUAUGGCACGAGGGUGGCAGUACUGGCUGGGGAUUUCAUGUUUGCUCAGUCCUCAUGGUACCUAGCAAAUCUUGAAAACAUUGAAGUCAUUAAGCUUAUCAGCCAGGUUAUUAAAGAUUUUGCAAGUGGUGAAAUAAAGCAAGCAUCUAGUUUGUUUGACUGCGAUGUUGAACUCGAGGAGUACUUGAUCAAGAGCUAUUACAAAACUGCCUCUUUAAUUGCUGCAAGUACCAAAGGAGCUGCUAUUUUUAGUGGGGUGGACAGCAGUGUUGCUGAACAAAUGUAUGAAUAUGGUAAGAAUCUUGGUCUGUCCUUCCAAGUUGUUGACGACGUACUGGAUUUUACGCAGUCAGCAGAGCAGCUGGGGAAGCCAGCUGGCAGUGACUUGGCAAAAGGGAACCUUACCGCCCCUGUAAUAUUUGCUCUGGAGAAAGAACCAAAACUGAGAGAAAUCAUUGAGUCUGAAUUCUGUGAGACUGGUUCUCUGGAUGAAGCUGUUGAGUUGGUUAAGCAGUGUGGGGGAAUUGAAAGAGCACAAGAAUUAGCGAAGGAGAAAGCUGAUCUUGCAAUACAGAAUCUUAAUUGUCUUCCUCUGGGUGUAUUUCAAUCACAUCUCAAAGAAAUGGUGUUGUACAAUCUCGAACGCAUUGAUUAGUUAGAUACUGCUUGAUAGGAAACAAAUAUAGGUAAGCUUUACAGGGGUAUAAACAGAAUAAGCUGGAUGAGGAUCCUUUAUGUAUCAGUGCAGCAAUUGUUUUUCUGCAAUUGUUUCACCUGAAAUCAGAAAUAACUCCGCAAAUUUUCUGGUAUACAGAUUUUUGUGGCCAUCAAUAAUGUGAAGCUUCUUUAUGUAUUUUUGCUGAUUUUCUUCUUCGUGUUAUCAUGUUGUAAUUAUUAUACAUGAUAUUAUCAUUUUCUGAACCCUUGAAGCCUUCAUUUAUCCCUUGUAAUGCUUUGCCCUCCACCAAGC
rnacentral:misc_RNA from 1 species